GACAGGCAUCAGGGCGCAGGCGCAGCCGCGCGCUGCCAGUCGGGAGGUGUAGUUCGCCUUUCCCGCCUUUCGGAGAACAGACUCCAGAAGGCCUCCGUUCUCCCAGUCCCUCUUUUUCUCCGCAUUUUGAAAGGAAAGAGGAGACAUCGCGGGAGGUGCUGGGAGUUGUGGUCCGAACCCAAGCUCCCUUCUCUUUCGCUCUCGGUAUGCUGUCGCAGGCGCAAGGAAGGCCGGGAUUGUAGUUUCCUUGGCUUCUCCUUCAUACCUUCCUCUCCGGCUUCGCGCGCCUCUCCUCUGGCUGCCGUCUCCCAACCAAUCGGCUGCGCUCUCUGCUACGUGUGGCGUCACACGUAGAGGCCAAAAUGGCGUCGGUAGCUGGAGCUGAGGCUUUGCUGCGACCUUUACUCUAGGCGAGGUUGGGGACGGUAGGAAAGCAGCUUUGUCCCUGAAGCGCCGUUGAGCAUUGGGAUCGGAUUCCUCAGAGUCAUGGGAGCAAUUAUCAGCGGCCUCCAGCCCCCACCAGACGCAAUUCAAGGAGAGAGAAUCAGCGCUACAAGAACUUACAUAACGGACGUCGCGAUUGCCCGAACCCAAUCUGGGGGUUGCGGAGUUGCCAGUGGAGAAGGGGGACCCGAACGUUCUCCACUUCGGGGUCCUCCACGUGUGAAGUGGGAAUGAUAGUGGUAUCUCGUGCUUUAGCUGUCAAAGGGAAGAAGGAGAAGGUAUUUAUUAGAGGCCCUACGAUGUGAUUUAAGACACAUGGACUGAGUAGGUAUGAAGUGCAAACACUGUGUUGGUGUCCGGAGGAAUGUACAAGGGAGGGACGCACAGACCCCUCUGUCGAGGACGUGGUUAUCUAGAAGAAAAGAGAGGACUGGUCCACAGACGAACUCAUGCAUGGUUCUUAAAGCAAGGUACAGGGGGACUGGCCCACAGCCUGACAUCCAGUUUCUUCUGAAAGGUAUGACUUCACACCGAAUCCUGGGGAUGGUAUAG
rnacentral:lncRNA from 1 species